UAUAUAUAUAUAUAUAUAUAUAUAUAUAUAUAUAUAUUCCUUACUUAUUUUUCUUACAAAAAGAUGUUUAUCUAUUUAAAGGUUCCGGCUAGGAACGAGCCUGACACUAGAGUUCGAAGUAAGAGAAACAUAUCAGGUUAAGUUUGGAUGAAGAUGGAAGUGUGCUGAGCUGGAACUUUUUGUUUAUGUAAAUAGUAAUAGGCUCAGGAUGUUGUAUCUUCAUACAUAAUGUCCAAUGAUGUAAUCCGCUGCAACACAUUAUUUCUCUUAUCACUUUUCACGUGUUGUAGAAUGUUUUAAAACCUUAACCUGUAUAUGAGCUUGAUAAA